GCUUGUCUCAAAGAUUAAGCCAUGCAUGUCUAAGUAUAAACGACUUUAUACUGUGAAACUGCGAAUGGCUCAUUAUAUCAGUUAUAGUUUAUUUGAUGGUCCUUGCUACUUGGAUAACCGUAGUAAUUCUAGAGCUAAUACAUGCAUUAAACCCCGACUUCUGGAAGGGGUGUAUUUAUUAGAUAACAGACCAAUAUUCCUCGUGUCUAUUGUGGUGAAUCAUAGUAACUGAUCGGAUCGCAUGGGCUACGCCCGCGACAAACCAUUCAAGUUUCUGCCCCAUCAGCUUUCGAUGGUAGUGUAUUGGACUACCAUGGCUUUUACGGGUAACGGAGGAUUAGGGUUCGAUUCCGGAGAGGGAGCCUGAGAAACGGCUACCACAUCCAAGGAAGGCAGCAGG
rnacentral:rRNA from 1 species